AUAUCAAUAAGCGGAGGAAAAGAAACCAACAGGGAUUGCCCUAGUAACGGCGAGUGAAGCGGCAACAGCUCAAAUUUGAAAUCUGGCGCAAGCCCGAGUUGUAAUUUGCAGAGGAUGUUUCGGAGCAGCGGCCGUUCUAAGUUUCUUGGAACAGAGCGUCACAGAGGGUGAGAGUCCCGUACGUGAGCGGCUGAGCACUCCACACGAAACUCCUUCGACGAGUCGAGUUGUUUGGGAAUGCAGCUCUAAAUGGGGAGGUAAAUUUCUUCUAAAGCUAAACACCGGCCAGAGACCGAUAGCGCACAAGUA
rnacentral:rRNA from 1 species